AAUUUUAAGUGGUAGGUGAGAUGACGAUGCUGCAAAUAAUACCUACCUAGUAGAAAUUAUUGACUGGUGUACCCUUUUAUCAAAAAAUGAAUUAUAAAGGUGCCAACCACGACUCACAAUUGAUGAAGUAUUUUGUAUUUUUCUAGUGAAACAUCGUCAAACCAUACUUUUUUUAAGUUCAGCAAAGCCAUAAUUGAAAAUUCUAUUUAGAAAAAUGGUGCUUAUAAUACUUCAAGCAGCCUUCAUGCCAAAAAGCUCCUUGACUCCGUAUGAGCAUUUCAGCAGGUGCCAAAGUAGCGACGGAGUCAUCGGCAGAUAAACCACAUAAAUGACAAGUGUCCUUAUUAUCUCCUAAAUUGUCUGGUAAAAACUUGACUUCAAUCUCCUGAGUUCCCGAAAUUUGCUGACGGGACAGGAAGCGCAGACGAGGAAACAAUCGCGCCCAUGCAUUUACGACCUGUUGAGAUUUCCAGUAAUUAGGAUUGCCUUUCCUUAAACAACCCGCAAUACACCUUUGAGCAACCUGUCCUGCAGCGAACACCCCUUUGGUGUAAACCUGAGUUUUGGGGUUGCUUAACGCCGUUUGUUUUUCAGAGAAUGAUAAAUUCGACAACUCUUCAAAAAAUUCGCUCGGAAAGGCCAACUCAUGUUCAACAAGUAAAUCAAGUACCUCUGUCGCAGACACCUUUCUCAAUGCCUGAGAACCAGGUAUAGGCAAAUCAUCUUCCAAAUCUAGUAAUGCUAUUGAGUCCAGGUUGAUACGAUUUUAUUAUUAAUUUCUUUAAAUCGUUUUUUUUAGAAAAAUUCUUUAACAGAAAAGAGAAAAAGUACCUUCACUUAGUUUUUAUACGUGAGUUCUUUUUUGGUUAUAGUUUGAAUCAUGAAGGGUUGAAAAGUCCAUCCUGGACAAUUGAGGGAAUACUUAGUUAUGAACAAGUAAAGGCUUUGAUGGGUUUUGUUAAUGCCAAGCAUGUUCGAAGGUUAAAGAAUGAAAAUGAUCGGGUUGAUGACCUAGAACAUGACAUCUCACCGAUUCUAUCGUACCCUUCGCUUUACUGUUGCAAUAGCGAUCAAGGUGAAUUUUUACGUGAAACACAACAAUACAAAAAAUUGCAAAGAAAGAUAGCAAGAAUUAAAAAUGUUCUCAAAAGGAACGAAUUACAAUAUUCAUUAGUACAUUAGAAAACAAGCAAAUAACACAAUGAUUUAACUUAAAGAUGCAAAGACACGAUUCAAAUCGGCAAUCAAGUCAGCAGCGUCUUCAAUACCAAUGGACAAGCGAACAAGUCUAGGAUCAAUCUUGGAAUCCGUCAUUCUUCGCCAUUCAAUCAAACUUUCCACACUACCCAACGAAGUAGCGUGAUGGAAAUAUUUCAACUCGCAGCACAAAUGCUUAGCAACUGUGUCAGAUUUAAGUAGAACAGAAAAGCAAGAUGCAUGACCGCCAGUCAAAUUUUUAGCGACAAAUUCCUUGGUCUGCAAGGAGUUAUGGUAAACCUCCAAAAUCAGGCUACUAUCAAUUCCUAGGCUAGUAGCAAAUUGCUCAUCGGUAGCCAACUUGUUCAAAUGUUGGGCAACCAAAAAUCCGUUUUCACUGUGUUUUGCGAUGCGAAGAGGAAAGGUACGAAGAGAGCGCAAGAGUAAGAAUGCUUGCUGAGGAUGUAAAAUUGUGCCAAGAUAAGCACGAUCUGCUUUCAAAUCAAGGAUCUUGGAUCUAUCUUUCGAGGCUGUGACUCCAGCCAAAACAUCGCUGUGGCCGGCUAGAUAUUUAGUCGCCGAGUGAACUACAUAAUCAGCACCUAAAACAAGUGCAUCCUGGAUAGGGGGUGGUGCAAAAGUAGAAUCCACAACAAGUAUGGCACCCUUCUUUUUUGCCAGUUCCUUGUAAAAAGGAAUGUCAAAGGCAAUACCUAAAGGAUUCAAAGGAGUUUCCAACCAUAUAACAUCACCUUCACCGAUGGCAUCGCAUUUGCCAUCAAUAAAUGAGGUUUCUAAACCGGUUAGACGAUUGAUGCGUGCAAUAAUUUGGAUUGUGCCUGAAUAACCACCGAAACCGGGUUUAUGAACGGCGAUGUGUUUGGGAUUUAAAUACGACAACAGUCCGUAAAUAGCAGCCAAACCAGAUGAGUAAACAACAGAAGGUGCACCAAGAACACUGCUCAACGAAGCUUCAGCUCGAUCAACAUUGUUGCCGCUGAUACGGGCAUAGUAUGGAAAGUCUUCCUCCGCUAGUUUGGUGAAAGGCUGAAGAGUGUCAGGAGUACCGGGAUAAGUAUAAGUAGUAGAAAUAUGGAUGGGAGGAGCCACAUCAUUUUCUAAUGCAUAAGCAUCAUCGGCAUGCAGUACAUUAGUACUUAAUGUGGACUUGAUGUCAGAGAGAUCGAACGAAGGAGUGUGAGUCAUGCUAAACUAAAGAAAAAAAAACAGAGAUGAAAUGCAGAAAGGUCACAACAAAUGAAUUUCGAGAAAACUAGUGUUUACACGUUUACGGAAUUAAUAAUGUUUAUAUCUAAUUGAAUGCUCCUACACUAGUAAUCACCAAUCGACCAAAGAAAUAAGUACGAGAUCAAACGACAGAUACCUAGUUAUGAUAAUUCUUUUAAAGACUUAUAUCUCCGUUAACUAACGUAAAGAGUUUGGUUAAAGACAAGUUGUUGUGAGACAUCGCGGGGCAUGUGCCUUAAUUUAUAUCGUUAUGCUUACGUGCUUGUAAACACUAUAUUACGCAUUUGAAGUAGAAAGCACACAAACAAAUAGAACCAGGACACUGAAUAAUUAGAACGUUUGGUUAAUGAAUUUUUACAUAAGCAGUUAUUAGUUUUAAGUUUAUAGGUUUAAUGGAGUUUGCUAUCCGAUCUCAGAUUCUAGGCGUUCGUACCGGACCCUAGAAAAUAUGCGACAGACUUAACAAGAUGCGUUUCCCAAUUAACAAGCGCUCUAGUUUUUAUUAGGAAUUCAAAGAAUACUGCUCUUUUUGUACUGUGGUCAAACAAAUGGUUUUGACAAUCAAAGAGGCAUAUACAAUAAGAAUGAUUUGAAAUGCAGCUGCAUGCCGACUGUCGCAUAUUUCGUGAGCAAGAACUCAUUUUGUUUACGGAAUGGCGUUUCCCAUUGAGUUACAAAUACUAUAGCAUUACUAUCAUCAGCAAACUUCUACGCCAUUCAACGUUUUUAUUUAAAGAGAACAACACGUAAAUAAAAACCAAUCGUAUAAGAUAAACAUUAAAACAUAAGAACUACUUUACAAAGACUUUUUCAAAAUAAAAUUGAGAAAAAGGGCGAAAAAAUAAUUUCUCGUAUAGAUACUUCGAGCUCGAUGGGAACGAGCCUCAAAAAGCCUUGCUUUUAAUCUCGCCUUUCUUUUUAAUAAACAAUGCAUUUUCAAAAUCUCACCGAAGAAACCAAAGAAACAUAGAAAGAAUAGGCCAGACAAUUCGCUUGAAGAGAAGAUAGACAACCACAAAUAUGAAGAACCCAAAUCCCGAGACGACUAAAAAGUAAUCACUUCGAUCACUUAAUUUGAGCGAUUUGAUUAUCCGUUUACUUGUAUAUAAAACGUCCUCUACACCAAAAUAUUUCUCUUGUAGAGUUUCUAACAAGUUGGUACUCGAAGACAACUCCAUUGCAUUUUCGGCACUCAUAUCCACUGCCUGUACCAUUUGUGCGUGAAUAUCACGCAUAGCCGCCGUGACCUGACUGGCGCUUGUAAGAUAAAUAUCAUCAGAUUGCCACGAACCAGAGUUAUCCAUUGAACGCUUUUGAAGAGAACCAUCACUUGGUGAGGUAAUUUCCUCUUCAUCUACAAUCUUACCUAUUUCUUGUGCGAUAGGCAACCAUGGUUCACCACUAGCAAUCUUAUUCCGAUAUCUUCUGUUCAACCGAAUGUAUUCUUGUACAGCCUUUUCAUAUCGUAGAACUGAGUCUAGCUGAAUGGAUGAGUAUUCAAGCUCUACCCUUGCAGUUUCCCAUAUUUUUCUAAACUCUCGAAAAUGCCUUUUAAUAACUUCAACGCUUUCUGACUGUUGUAAUUCAACAACUUUUUCUUCUAGUGCAUUCAGAACGUCGGCCAUCGAAUGCUAUGUUCUCUGCUUUAUUGAACAAGUUAAAGGAGAAAUAGUAUUAUGAGAUGCAAGAGGAAAGAACGAUAAAGGUAAAUGAUGAUGAGUGGGAAACGAAUGAUGGAUGCACUAACAAUAUAGCACAGCUGAAGGUGAAUAUAAGACUAUACAUCGAAAGGUUCGGUAUAUAGAAUAAGGAAAAGAAAUCAAAUGCGGAAUUAUAAAUAACGAGAAAUAAAGAUGCUAAGAGAGAGAAAGAGACAAUAAAGAUAGAAGGCAAUAAGGUGAAAUAAAUUAGAAAGUGUAAAUGGUAAAGGGAAUAUUGUAUCGAUCUUUAAUAAAAAGUCGAAAACCACAGAAAUGUUACUAUGCACGCAACUGUAGAAUGAAGCAACCUUUCAUUCUAGUUCAAACGACGCUAGACACAAGUCGGUGUCUUUUUUGUUCAAAAAUAUUAUACAUAUUCUGGGGUGAAAAGAAAAAAUUUGAUAAACUUCCAUUUGCUUUAUGAUUGUUCAUUAGCCAAAGGAUGUUCAACGAUUUCACCAACUUUUGCCUUAUAACCCACAGGCAACGCUUGCAGGAGUAAGCGUACAUCUUCAAUUUUUUUGUUUUCCAACUCUUUACGAAAUGCUUCAUCUUGACGAGGAUCGAGAUGUUGUUUCAUAGCUUCGCGAGCAUCUUCACGUAUCCAUAAUGGUUCGUCGCUCAACUCAACCAUAUAUUGACAACUUUUUAGAAAGCAAUCCUUCGAGCAAUAAUAGUUGAGUCCACCGUAGACCUUCAUUCCUGAAUCUUCUAAUUUAUACCUAGUUUGCUGCUUAGGUUCAUAAGGACAAACGGGAUAACCGCACAGAUUGACGAGUUUACGCUCCUUCACCACUUGAUCGUAAUCACUUUUUCGAAGGUAUUUACGAGCUUCCUCUAAAGUUUCUAGGGAAACCGGAUCAACCAGCUUUUCAAUCCAUUCGAGGGCAAAAAAAUCAUACUGAAGUCGACUGCGUGCUUCAUCUAUAAGACUCUUCGACCACGUGAUCAAUUGCUUUUCUUGAGUGCUUUGAGCAUUUUUCGGCUUUUUGAGAAUUGAUUUUUUGUUCAUAUCUGAAUUGGAUAUAUUGGAGUCAGCUGGAAAACAGAAGGUCUUAAAAAUCGCUAUUAGGCAGAUAUGAGUCAGUCAAGCAUUGGAAGGAGGAAUGAGCAUCGUAAAAAUACUUUAGCGCCGUGCAAUUUUUGUUAAAGAGUUCUUGAGUUACGCAAUUCAUUUACAGCGAACUAAGACAGUGCGUUGGCCUUGGUACUAAAAAUUUUGAUAGAAAUUACCCUCUCAGUUGAGUGUGGACAAAGGAAAAAAAAUAAAGAAAAGCAUGCGUUGCACCAAUCAUGUAAAGAAAGUUUUGUAGGUCUCUUUAAGAAAAUCAUUUUACCGUUAAAAAUAAUAAUG